rnacentral:misc_RNA from 1 species
GAUGAAAACGUAGCGAAAUGCGAUAAGUAAUGUGAAUUGCAGAAUUCAGUGAAUCAUCGAAUCUUUGAACGCACAUUGCGCCCGCCAGUAUUCUGGCGGGCAUGCCUGUUCGAGCGUCAUUUCAACCAUCAAGCCCCCGGCUUGUGUUGGGGACCUGCGGCUGCCGCAGGCCCUGAAAAGCAGUGGCGGGCUCGCUGUCACACCGAGCGUAGUAGCAUACAUCUCGCUCUGGGCGUGCUGCGGGUUCCGGCCGUUAAACCACCUUCAUAACCCAAGGUUGACCUCGGAUCAGGUAGGAAGACCCGCUGAACUUAAGCAUAUCAAUAAGCGGAGGA